rnacentral:rRNA from 1 species
UGGUUCCUACGGGGGGCGGCAGUGGGGGAUAUUGCACAAUGGGGGAAACCCUGAUGCAGCGACGCCGCGUGAGCGAUGAAGUAUUUCGGUGUGUAAAGCUCUAUCAGCAGGGAAGAAAAUGACGGUACCUGACUAAGAAGCCCCGGCUAACUACGUGCCAGCAGCCGCGGUAAUACGUAGGGGGCAAGCGUUAUCCGGAUUUACUGGGUGUAAAGGGAGCGUAGACGGCAGUGCAAGUCUGAAGUGAACGGCAAGGGCUCAACCUUUGGACUGCUUUGGAAACUGUGC